UACGGGGGGGCAAGCGUUGUUCGGAAUUACUGGGCGUAAAGGGCUCGUAGGCGGCCAACUAAGUCGGACGUGAAAUCCCUCGGCUCAACCGGGGAACUGCGUCCGAUACUGGAUGGCUUGAGUUCGGGAGAGGGAUGCGGAAUUCCAGGUGUAGCGGUGAAAUGCGUAGAUAUCUGGAGGAACACCGGUGGCGAAGGCGGCAUCCUGGACCGACACUGACGCUGAGGAGCGAAAGCCAGGGGAGCAAACGGG
rnacentral:rRNA from 1 species